UACCAGCACCCCGAGUGGUCGGGACGGAUUAUUGGGCCUAAAGCAUCCGUAGUCGGUCCACAAGUCUUCCGUUAAAUCCACCUGCUUAACAGAUGGGCUGCGGAAGAUACUAUAGGGCUAGGAGCGGGAGAGGCAAGCGGUACUCAGUGGGUAGGGGUAAAAUCCUCUGAUCCAUUGAAGACCACCAGUGGCGAAGGCGGCUUGCCA
rnacentral:rRNA from 1 species